rnacentral:snRNA from 1 species
UCCAAAUAUCCUUCAAUGGAUA